GAUGAACGCUGGCGGCGUGCUUAACACAUGCAAGUCGAACGGAAAGGCCCUGCUUUUGUGGGGUGCUUGAGUGGCGAACGGGUGAGUAACACGUGAGUAAAAUGCCCUUGACUUUGGGAUAACUUCAGGAAAAUGGGGCUAAUACAGGAUAGGAGCUUCUGAUGCAUGGUGGGGGUUGGAAAGAUUCGGCGGUUGGGGAUGGUCUCGAAGCUUAUCCGCUUGUUGGUGGGGUAGUGACUUACAAAGGCUUCGACGGGUAGCCGACCUGAGAGCGUGACCGGCCACAUUGGGACUGAGAGACGGCCCAGACUCCUACGGUACGCAGCAGUGGGGAAUAUUGCACAAUGGGCGGAAGCCAGAUGCAACGAUGCCGCGUGCGGGAUGACGGCCUACUGGUUGUGAACCGCUGUCGCAUGUGACGAAGCGUGAGUGACGGUAAUUGGUAAGGAAGCACCGGCUAACUACGUG
rnacentral:rRNA from 1 species